rnacentral:rRNA from 1 species
GUACACGCUGUGACUAGCAUAUCAAUAAGCGGAGGAAAAGAAACUAACAAGGAUUCCCUUAGUAACGGCGAGUGAAGCGGGAAGAGCUCAAAUUUGAAAUCUUCAAGGUUUUACCUUGACGAAUUGUAGUUUAAAGAAGUGUUUUCUGUUAGUGGAGUGGCAAAAGUUCUUUGGAAUAGGACAUCAUAGAGGGUGAGAAUCCCGUAUUUGGUCAUUCCUUCUAGCUUUGUGAUACACUUUCAAAGAGUCGGAUUGUUUGGGAAUGCAGUCCGAAAUGGGUGGUAAAUUUCAUCUAAAGCUAAAUAUUGGCGAGAGACCGAUAGCUGAACAAGUACCGUGAGGGAAAGAUGAAAAGAACUUUGAAAAGAGAGUUAAACAGUACGUGAAAUUGUCAAAAGGGAAGCGUUUGACACCAGUGUUGUUUUUCCGAAAAUCAAUUAUAAAUGUUUUGUUUCUGAGGAGUGAUGACUUCAUCGGCUUCCUUCUCUCUUCACGAAACUUUUGUAAUGCACUUUUCGGUUAACAAGUCAACAUCAAUUUCUUUUGUUGUAAAAGAGUAUUCGGAAGGUGGCUUUCUUUUCGGAGAAAGUGUUUAUAGCCCUAUACUUCUACAAUCGGAGAGAUUGAGGUCUGCAGCGUAGAUCCUUCGGGGUUAGAUACACUUGUGCUAAGUUAUAGCUUUUCAUAGACAACUUGUUGACUAUGUUUAGUCUUGUAGCUUACUCGCUUGUGCUAUUUUACCUACGCUUAGGAUGUUGACACACGCGCGUGCUC